AUACGGAGGAUCCGAGCGUUAUCCGGAUUUAUUGGGUUUAAAGGGAGCGUAGGUGGACAGUUAAGUCAGUUGUGAAAGUUUGCGGCUCAACCGUAAAAUUGCAGUUGAUACUGGCUGUCUUGAGUACAGUAGAGGUGGGCGGGAUUGGUGGUGGAGCGGGGGAAUGCUUAGAUAUCACGAAGAACUCCGAUUGCGAAGGCAGCUCACUGGACUGCAACUGACACUGAUGCUCGAAAGUGUGGGUAUCAAACAGGAUUAGAUACCCUGGUAGUCCACACAGUAAACGAUGAAUACUCGCUGUUUGCGAUAUACAGUAAGCGGCCAAGCGAAAGCAUUAAGUAUUCCACCUGGGGAGUACGCCGGCAACGGUGAAACUCAAAUGAAUUGGCGGGG
rnacentral:rRNA from 1 species